rnacentral:rRNA from 1 species
AGCAGCCGCGGUAAUUCCAGCUCCAAUAGCGUAUAUUAAAGUUGUUGCAGUUAAAAAGCUCGUAGUUGAAUUUUGGGUUUGGCCAAUUGGUCCGUUCUUGUAACGAGUACUGGUUGGUUGGGCCUCACCGCCUGGUGAUACGUAAUGUCCUUUAUUGGGUGUUGCGAGUAGCCAGGACCUUUACCUUGAAAAAUUAGAGUGUUUAAAGCAGGCUUAUGCCGGAAUACAUUAGCAUGGAAUAAUAGAAUAGGACGAUGAUUCUAUUUUGUUGGUUUCUAGGAGCAUCGUAAUGAUUAAUAGGGAUAGUUGGGGGCAUUAGUAUUCAAUUGUCAGAGGUGAAAUUCUUGGAUUUAUUGAAGACUAACUACUGCGAAAGCAUUUGCCAAGGAUGUUUUCAUUAAUCAAGAACGAAAGUUAGGGGAUCGAAGACGAUCAGAUACCGUCGUAGUCUUAACCAUAAACUAUGCCGACUAGGGAUCGGAUGAUGUUUAAUUUUUUAAUGUACUCA